AAGUCGUAACAAGGUUUCCGUAGGUGAACCUGCGGAAGGAUCAUUAAUGAAUUUGGAGGCUGUCGCUGGCUAGGUCAUUCUAGCAUGUGCACGUCUACUCUUUUAAACACACUUGUGAACCCAUUGUAGAUCGAGUCCAUCGAAAAGUAGCAUCAAACUACCUAAUAGAGGGCUGAUUGGCUUAUCGAAAAGUAUGAGGCUUAUUGAAAAGUAGUGUGAACUACCUAAUAGAAAGCUUAGUACCUAAUAGAGGGCUGGUCGGCUUAUCGAAAAGU
rnacentral:misc_RNA from 1 species